rfam:Cyanobacteria bacterium 13_1_40CM_2_61_4 13_1_40cm_2_scaffold_150128, whole genome shotgun sequence.
CCAGGUUUGUGUCCAUAACCUGUUCCCAGGCUCUCCAGGCGUUCUCAGUAAUGAGAGGGUCUGAAGCGAGAGUCAAAGCCCAAGGGUGC